CAGCAGCCGCGGUAAGACGAACCGUGCGAACGUUAUUCGGAAUUACUGGGCUUAAAGCGCGUGUAGGCGGGCCGCCACGUCGGUUGCUGAAAUCCCCCGGCUCAACCGGGGAAGUGGCAUCGAUACGAGCGGCCUUGGGGGGGGUAGGGGGGUCUGGAACUUCCGGUGGAGCGGUGAAAUGCGUUGAGAUCGGAAGGGACGCCCGUGGCGAAAGCGAGGUCCUGGACCCUUUCUGACGCUGAGACGCGAAAGCCAGGGGAGCGAACGGGAUUAGAUACCCGCGUAGUCCCUGUCUCUUAUA
rnacentral:rRNA from 1 species